UGGACUAUCCAGGGGCGACCUGGUAUGGCUAUCUCAUGCCAUAAAUCUGUAUCUGCUCUCUGUCAAGGGCUAAGGAUCAUCCAACAUUCAUCCACAGGAACAACAACAUAUGCAAUGCAUCAUAUUCGUGAAUUCUAAUGCAACACAACCUAAUACAUAACAUGGCAGUUUAUGAUGCAUGGAUCAUGCUAGAAUCGUGUCAUUUCUCAAAAUAAACUAGUCAGUUUAGUUCCACUCACCUCUGCUCUUCUGGCAGAUACUGUACUGACUCUGAUCUCUCUAACUCUGAUGACCUCCUCGAACUCUCGGGUCCAAUCCUACACAAAUGGACUCGAAUGAGGUGUCACACAUACUUUGAAUAGCUCUUAAACAAAUCCCCAUAAUCCCCUCUAAACCUCUGAAAAUAAUCACAUAACUCAUGCAAAAGAAGGCUAGACAGAACACAUUCGGCAGCAGGUUCGGCGGCCGAAUGUCCUCUCCAGAGCCGAAACUCAUGCAUGUUCGGCGGCACCUUCGGCGGCCGAAUGUGCAUGACAGAUCCGAAAGUCCAUUCUUUCGGAGGCAACCUUAGGCAGCCGAAACUACCUCCACAAGAGGUUCGGCGGCCGAAUCUUCACUUCGGCGGCCGAAGCUGGGUUCUCCAGAAGGCAGAACCUUGCUUCCUCUCAUGCACAACGUCUCCA
rnacentral:lncRNA from 1 species